rnacentral:rRNA from 1 species
ACGCUGGCGGCGCGCCUAACACAUGCAAGUCGAACGAGCGAGAGAGAGCUUGCUUUCUCGAGCGAGUGGCGAACGGGUGAGUAACGCGUGAGGAACCUGCCUCAAAGAGGGGGACAACAGUUGGAAGCGACUGCUAAUACCGCAUAAGCCCACGACCCGGCAUCGGGUAGAGGGAAAAGGAGCAAUCCGCUUUGAGAUGGCCUCGCGUCCGAUUAGCUAGUUGGUGAGGUAAAGGCCCACCAAGGCGACGAUCGGUAGCCGGACUGAGAGGUUGAACGGCCACAUUGGGACUGAGACACGGCCCAGACUCCUACGGGAGGCAGCAGUGGGGAAUAUUGCACAAUGGGGGAAACCCUGAUGCAGCGACGCCGCGUGGAGGAAGAAGGUCUUCGGAUUGUAAACUCCUGUUGUUGAGGAAGAUAAUGACGGUACUCAACAAGGAAGUGACGGCUAACUACGUG